rnacentral:tRNA from 1 species
GGAUUGUGGCUCAGCGGUAGAGCGCUCGUCUAGCGUGUGUGAGGAGGUCCUGGGUUCGAUCCUCAGCACCA